CUGUAUAGCAGAGCAAUGAGUAUGUCCCAGGAGCAUUUGCAGUCAUCUUCUCCAGAUUAUGAGAUCCCCAUGCUCCACAACCCUCAGUCUAUGAACAUCAUGCAGAGCGAAUCUUGGGUUAGUUUUCCUUUUUCAUGGCCUCACUUUCAGAGAUUGACGUCCCUUGACGAAAUCAAACCAGCAAAUCAGAAGGACAGCCUGUUGCUACCGUUGUUAUCAUAUUAACCCCAUACCGAAGAAGCUCAGAGAUAUAAAUGCUGUUUAAGAUGUGCUAGUCUCUACAUACCCCGUGUCUGGUGUGAACAUGUACAAUUGAAGGUCUCUACAUACCCCAUGUCUGGUGUGAACAUUUACAAUUGAAGACCUCUACAUACGUCAUGUCUGGUGUGAACAUGUACAAUUGAAGGUCUCCACAUACUCCAUGUCUGGUGUGAACAUGUACAAUUGAAGGUCUCCACAUACUCCAUGUCUGGUGUGAACAUGUACAAUUGAAGGUCUCUACAUACCCCAUGUCUGGUGUGAACAUGUACAAUUGAAGACCUCUACAUACUCCAUGUCUGGUGUGAACAUGUACAAUUGAAGGUCUCUACAUACCCAAUGUCUGGUGUGAACAUGUACAAUUGAAGGUCUCUACAUACUCCAUGUCUGGUGUGAACAUGUACAAUUGAAGGUCUCUACAUACCCCAUGUCUGGUGUGAACAUGUCUCAUCUUUGAAAUUGGAAAAUUAGUGACUUGAUUCAGACAGAAAUCGCAUAAUGACAAAUCACAACAAAAAAUGGAAAGCCAGAAAGUCUUGUGGCCAGCAAUGUUUUUAUGUGACCAUCCAAGUUGUGUUCAAAGAAAAACAAUAGUUAAUGUUUUAUUGGAACUAUGAUGCUGUCAGUCAUUUUAUGUUGAAGGCUUUAAAUAACUAUAUUUAAAUAUAAUAAGAUAAAGAUUACUUGAUAAAAGCAAUAAUGUCAAAUAGUAUUUUAAUAGUAUAUCCAAUUACUGUGUCUGUAUUAAGACAUUUUAUUUUGGAAAUGUUAAGGAAAAUAUAAUGUUACUAUAAAAUAUAUGUCUAUGAAUGUUGAUUUUAACAUUUGUCAAAGCUGUUUAGAUGAUGCUGGUAACUUUGACAAAAUUUAAAGAAAUGUAUUAUUUUCAUGUAAUGAGAUGCUUCAGUUUUUUUGUGGCUUAACAUGUAAUAUAGAGGUGGUAGUUACAAGGAUUGUUAGGCCAGAUGGAGAAUGUUUAUGCUAUGGCUUUGAUACUCUUAAGUGUGCCCAUUGGUGUCAGGUUUUUAUCAAGAAUAUUGUUUAUUGUCUUACAAUUUCUUGAAAAUAUUGAUUAAUUUCAGACAAAAACAUUUAAUCUUCCUUAAAUUGUCUAUUCUGUAUUUACGACCAGUUAUUUAUUAAUUUGCAUGAAUUAGAUUUAUGAAUGACUUUUGUGUUGCUUAAAAAGCUUUAUUUGUUUUGAAACUGAGUAUUUAAAAACGAAAAUAUGAGGUGUAGGAAUAAUGGCCGAAGUUAUAAUAAUUAUUUUUUUGUUUUUGUAAAGUUUAUUAUGCUUUAUAUGUUUGUGUAUAGGCAUUUAGACGACCAGAUUAAUUUGACCAAUAAUUCGUGAUCACUGUAUAUAUCGGUUAGUACAUUUUUCACUUGUAUAUAGAGCGAUUGCGAAAUGAUCGUAUUGUUAAUGAAAAUCAUGAGUUUAUUGUUGCCAUUUUGAUUUUCGCUGUUAACAUUUAUUUGUACAAACAAUUUUCAUCAUGUACAUCUUUUAGGUGCCAGAUAAUAAAAAAACAUUGCUCAUUUAAAACUUUCUUAAUGAUACAGAACAACACAUUCUGAAGAGGCAAAUAUCCUUUAGGCAAAAGGAACAUCUUGUUACUAGUAUAUGUAAUGCCUUUCACUAAAUAAAGUCAAGCAACUAUUGAAAGAUUGGUUUAACUUUAUUUUGCAUUAUCUUAACAAAAAUUAAUAUAUUCAACUUGGAAAUCAGACAUUUGCAAAUCAAGCGAGAGUGAUGAAUAUUUGUACGCAAGAUAGAGGGAUGUUUUUGCUUGAAAAAAAGUGAGAUAAUGAUUUUGUUCAUCUCUCAACAUAACAAGUGCAUUAAAUUUAGUUUUCCAUACAAUGCUUAAAGUUUUGCGACGAUAAAGGAAAUGUUCUGAUCAAAAUGUCUGUUAAAGACAUGUGUAUAUUGUAGCAAUUAUAUUUUACUUGUAUUUAUAGUAUACAUGAUAAUAAUUGACUUAUGGCUGAUGAUAGCGGCAGUUUACUAGUUGUGUAACAGUUUGUUUCACUCGAUCAUCAGACCAUAUUUCCUUAAACAUGUGAUUGUUUAUAAUGAACUGUAAUUGAAUGCAUGAAACAUUGUUGUUCUGUUGCUUAACAGCUGAAAAUAGCUUGAUGUUUGUUAAUUGUGUGAAAUGUUUCAAAUAAAUCAUAUUGAUACAUAGAAAAUAAAAUUACAUUUUGCGUUAAUUUGAAUGCAUAUCAAACAAUUGUUACCAUACAAGCAUAUUUGUAUUGAACUUAAUUGAUACUUUGAGAUGCAGUUUGUACAAUAAUGUGUAAAUAUUUUCAUCUUUUCCAAAUGAACAUUUUGCAUUUGUAAAUAUAGGGUUUAUAUAAACUUUAUAGAAACUUGUUAAAUGCUUUAUAUAAAUUGAUUGUGUACCACAUAUUGAUUAAAGACUCUCUUAUUUAUUGCACAGUUGUGUGUGCAUAUGUCUGACUUAUGUCUUCAUAGUCCUUAAAGUUAAAUUACUGUAAAUAGUAUUUUAUAAUAAUGUUAAAAUAUUUAUCUAAACUAUAUACAGGUUAUCUGUUAAAUUAAGUUUCAUACAUAAGCAUUGUCUAGCUAAUUAAAUUGGAGUGUUUAUAUUCUCGCCUACAUGCAGUGUAUGGUUUAGACAAAGCACAUUACACAACUCAAGUUGUUUUAUCCAUCAUUACUAACCAGUGUUUAGUCCGUAGAAGUUAAAGUAUACUAAAUAUUUCGGUUGUGCAAUGAUAUGCUCUCUAAAUCAAUCAACACCAUUUAUUGAUUUUCUAUGUGGGCACUUAAAUUCCCAUGACUUUAUUUGUGAAUAUUUAUUUGAAUGUGCGGUAGGGAAAACAUUGUUUGCUUGAAGGUUUAGAAACUUAAUGUUGACAUCUUGAAAGAUGGCAGAAAACAUUUAACUGCAGAGUAGCUGUGAAAAGAUGUAUUUUAAACAAUGUAAGACAGAACUCCAUGCAAGAUAUGUCAUGCAUUCGAUAUGCAUGAACUAUCUUUUUUAAUUAAUUUGGAUCGGAAUUAUCUUUUAGAAAUGAUAUGGUUAUGAAGGUUUGUGUACAAGUUAUUGCUUAAACAUUGAAUUUGUUAUGGAAAUAAUUUAGUUUAUGUGACUUAAAGAGAUAUACAUGUUUAUGUUAGUGAUGUGUUUUUGCUGAUCCAAGUCUGUUCCUGCACACUAUUUAAAGUAGAUAACUACAAGUUAUCUCAUUUAAAUGGGAAUAGUAUUGUACUGUGG